rnacentral:lncRNA from 1 species
UUGUAGAAGACAAGACAGUUUGUAAAGGUAUCUCUUCUGAAGUAGUUAAUACGAAUCCACAGACAAUAGAGCUUGAAGAGUUGCCUCGAGGAGCGACUGAUAAUGGGCCUGCCAUUUCAGAGCCUGAGAAGGAUGAAAAAAUAGAAAUGAACAAGAACGAAGUCCACCAAAGUGGUGAAGUGGAAUUAGAAAUGUCACCAGAUGUAACUUCACCCAAUGCUGGUGCUAAUGUGACUGAUAAGGAAGCAGAGAUGCAUGAGCAAGCAGAUUUGCCACAGAGCAUGAUCGAUGAGGAGAGUUCGGCUAAUGAGUUUAAGAAGAUCGAAGAAGUCGAGGUAGUGAAGGAGGAUGAUGUCUUAGAAAGUGGAGAAGAAGAGCAUCAAAUGGUACUUGAUGCCACUUCACAGAAUGAUGG